rnacentral:rRNA from 1 species
CAGUCGCCGCGGGAAUACGUAGGUGGCAAGCGUUGUCCGGAAUUAUUGGGCGUAAAGCGCGCGCAGGCGGAUCGGUCAGUCUGUCUUAAAAGUUCGGGGCUUAACCCCGUGAUGGGAUGGAAACUGCCAAUCUAGAGUAUCGGAGAGGAAAGUGGAAUUCCUAGUGUAGCGGUGAAGUGCGUAGAUAUUAGGAAGAACACCAGUGGCGAAGGCGACUUUCUGGACGAAAACUGACGCUGAGGCGCGAAAGCGUGGGGAGCAAACAGGAUUAGAUACCCCAGUAGUCCCUGUCUCUUAUACA